rnacentral:rRNA from 1 species
UACGGAGGGUGCAAGCGUUGCUCGGAAUUAUUGGGCGUAAAGGGUAGGUAGGUGGCGUCAUUUGUCUGGGGUGAAAGCCUUGAGCUUAACUCAAGAAGUGCCCCAGAAACGGUGAGACUAGAGUCCUGGAGAGGGUCGUGGAAUUCCCGGUGUAGCGGUGAAAUGCGUAGAUAUUGGGAAGAACACCAGUGGCGAAAGCGGACUUCUGGGUUGUUACUGACGCUGAGGUACGAAAGCGUGGGGAGCAAACGGG